GGCAUAGUGUAAUGGUUUGAAUAUUAGUAUGACUCUGGAGGCCAGGGUUCAAAUCCCUGCUUGGCCA